CCUACGGGAGGCUGCAGUCGAGAAUCAUUCACAAUGGGGGAAACCCUGAUGGUGCGACGCCGCGUGGGGGAAUGAAGGUCUUCGGAUUGUAAACCCCUGUCAUGUGGGAGCAAAUUAAAAAGAUAGUACCACAAGAGGAAGAGACGGCUAACUCUGUGCCAGCAGCCGCGGUAAUACAGAGGUCUCAAGCGUUGUUCGGAAUCACUGGGCGUAAAGCGUGCGUAGGCUGUUUCGUAAGUCGUGUGUGAAAGGCGCGGGCUCAACCCGCGGACGGCACAUGAUACUGCGAGACAAGAGUAAGGGAGGGGGAACCGGAAUUCUCGGUGUAGCAGGGAAAUGCGUAGAUAUCGAGAGGAACACUCGUGGCGAAGGCGGGUUCCUGGACAUUAACUGACGCUGAGGCACGAAGGCAAGGGGAGCGAAAGGGAUUAGAUACCCUUGUAGUC
rnacentral:rRNA from 1 species